UCCCUAUGGAUCUCGAAGCGCCGGUGCCCCCACCCCACUCCCUCCCACGCUGUCCACCAGCGUUUCCCUCGAGCGCCGCCUCUCCUUCUCCCCAACCCUGGCAGUAACCUCGUUUCCCUCAACAGCCAGAUCCCGCUCACGCUCACAUCGUGCUCCUUAUCGUCCUCCUCGACCUGCUCCUCCGUGCCGCCGUCCACCACGCCUCCGCCCACAGCCUCCUCGACCAGGGCAGGGGCUUCCACUUCCACUUCCGCACACAACAGCAACUCCUUCUCCUCUUCCCUACAGCUUCCGCCUCCGAUCGAUCACUCUGGAGCACCACCACCCGCCGCCACUGCCGCGCAGAUCGGAGCAGAGCAACAAUGCAGGUGGUGAAGAGCCUCCGGAAGUCAAAGCCGACACCGCAGCAGCAGCUGCGUAAGUGGUAGCGCCGCCACCGCAACGAGGGCCGCAACAUCGAGCGCCAGAUCUAAGACGUGCAGAAGGAGGAGAAGAAGGUUGAGAAGACCAUCCGGGACGCCGCCAAGGCGCUGGCCAAGGAGCUUGUGCAGUCCAGGAAGGCGGUCAACCACCUCUACAAGAACAAGGCCCAGAUCAACUCCAUCUCCAUGCACCUCGGCAAGAUCGAUGCUGCGAUCGACGACCUGAACAGCAAGACCGACAUGAAGAUCCUGCUGAAGUGGAUGUGGGGCAGGAGGAUCAUCAAGCUCUCGAGCGUGCAGCGAGGAGCUGCUCUUCGCCUCGCCUCGCACAAGCGAUGUCAUCAGGUACAGCGCUGCUGCUGGUUCCUUGAGGCCAAGUCGAGUUGAGGUAGGGGAUAGGAAGGCUGAGCCGCUCGGGUGCUGAUCAUGUACAGUGGCGCUCUUUUCAGCAUGGACCCGACCAAACCAAUGAUGCAAGGCUUCUCCUGCUACUGCAUGUCUUCAUCAACUUAGUUCUUCCAUAGGGAGAGAUUUAAAUCUUUCACUUGUUCAAUGUGUAAUCUACAGAUUACUUCUUCCAUUAAUCACCUAGUGCUCCUGUUAGUGAGAUUCAUCUAGUAUUUUUUUUGCAAAGCAUGCAAUGGUUUGGAGUAGUUGAUCAUGGCCAGAUGGAACCUUUAUGUUGUUACCAUGUAUAUAUGUAGUACUACAAUAGCCAUAAGCAAUCCAUUUUAUUAAAUGCAUUUUGCUAGCU